UACGUAGGCAGCGAGCGUUGUUCGGAGUUACUGGGCGUAAAGCGUGCGUAGACGGUAGCGUAAGUCGGGUGUGAAAGCCCCGGGCUCAACCUGGGAAUUGCAUUCGAGACUGCUCUGCUAGGGUGCGGAAGAGGGAAGCGGAAUUUCCGGUGUAGCGGUGAAAUGCGUAGAUAUCGGAAGGAACACCAGUGGCGAAAGCGGCUUCCUGGUCCAGCACCGACGUUCAGGCACGAAAGCGUGGGGAGCAAACAGG
rnacentral:rRNA from 1 species